UACGUAGGUGACAAGCGUUGUCCGGAUUUAUUGGGCGUAAAGAGCGCGCAGGCGGUCGAUCAAGUCGAGUGUGAAAGCCCCGGCUCAACUGGGGAGGGUCAUUCGAUACUGAUCGACUCGAAGGCAGGAGAGGGUAGUGGAAUUCCCGGUGUAGUGGUGAAAUGCGUAGAUAUCGGGAGGACACCAGUGGCGAAGGCGACUUCCUGGCCUGUUCUUGACGCUGAGGCGCGAAAGCUAGGGUAGCA
rnacentral:rRNA from 1 species